rnacentral:misc_RNA from 1 species
AUAGAAAAAUGUAACUGAUAAGACUCAAUUAUGAAGCAGUUUGCGACUGUAUCGUUAACUAAGUCGGUUUUAUAAUAAUUUUUAAUGUAGGAUUAUGACCAUGGAAAACAUCAAUAUUAUCUGUGGUAUGUCAUUUUUCAUUCUGAUUGCUCCUCCAUGGAGCACUAAGGUGUUAUCUAAUAGGUUGUUUACGGUCAACUUACGUUGCCAUUUAUUAAGUUGUGAAGGUGAUAUAGACCCCAACCUGGCAAACCCAAGCCAGCUGUGACGAUGAAGAAACUAGGCAAGAUUUCAUACCACAUAUUUUUAUUUAAUUAUCGCAAAAUAUCGCACAAAACUAUACUUGCUCGAAGAAUGACAACCUAUUGUGUGUUACCAAAUGAUUAUGUUGAUAUCUACCAAAAGGCUAAAAAUGAAACCCAAGAUAACGGGUCAUCAAAAAUGGCAGACACCCCGAUUGACUGUGAAUUCCCAGUUUGGGGAUUAUUACCGAAAAAAGAGACAGGAGUCGUCUCAUUUCUCAAUAAGUAUCCAGAAUACGAUGGCAGGGACACCGUUAUUGCUAUAUUUGACUCUGGUGUGGACCCUGCGGCAGCCGGUCUCAAGUUGACGAGCACUGGUGAAACAAAGGUUAUAGAGAGGUUCGACUGCAGCGGGUGCGGUGAUGUGGACACUAGUACAAUUAUUCGCAAAGCUGUCGAUGGAUGCAUUACCGGUCUUACAGGCCGCAAAUUGAAAAUCCCAGAUAAUUGGAGUAACCCGUCUGGUGUGUGGCGUGUGGGCAUUUUACAUGCAUACACUUUGUACCCGAGCAAGCUACGGGAACGGGUACAGGAACACCGUAAGGAACAGCAGUGGGAUGUCAUUCAUAAACUUGCCUUUGCUAAGGCCAAUAAGGAGUUGCAGGACUUUGAAAAUGAUGUUUCAAAAAACUCAACUCUUACUCCGGAGGAGAAAAUGCAGAAAGAGGAGUUGGAAGCCCGUGUAGAAGUACUGACAGCUGCCGAAAAAAAGUACACAGACCUGGGACCUACGUAUGACUGCGUGCUGUUUCAUGAUGGCACUUGUUGGAGGGCUGGCAUAGACACGUCAGAAUGUGGCGACUUGAAACAGGGCCCGUUCCUGGGCGAGUACAGCGCGACACACGAGCACGCGCACCUCACCGAGCUCGAUCAGAUGACCAUCAGCAUCAACGUGCACGAUGACGGGGGGACGCUUGAGGUCGUCGGCAUGUGCUCAACCCACGGCACCCACGUAGCAGCGAUUGCAGCAGGGUACUUCGCCGACGAGCCAGACAAGAACGGCGUGGCUCCCGGCGCCAAGAUCAUAUCGCUGACUAUCGGGGACAGCCGCCUGGGCUCCAUGGAGACUGGCACCGCACUCAUCCGAGCGUGCAUCAAGGUCAUGGAACUCUCCAAAAAGAUGAAGAUUGACGUCAUCAACAUGAGCUACGGGGAACACGCGCACUGGUCUAAUGCUGGGCGCGUGGGAGAGGUGAUCUGCGAGGUGGUGAAUCGCUACGGCGUGUCUUGGGUGGUGUCGGCCGGCAACCACGGGCCCGCGCUGGCCACCGUGGGCGCACCGCCCGACAUCGCACAGCCUGUGCUCAUUGGCGUGGGCGCGUACGUGUCCCCGGAGAUGAUGCGCGCGGCGUACUCGCUGCGCGCGCGGCUGGCGGGCGGCGCCUUCAGCUGGAGCUCGCGCGGGCCCGCCGCCGACGGCGCGCCCGGCCUCAGCGUGGCCGCGCCCGGCGGCGCCGUCGCCUCCGUCGCCAGGUUUACAUUAAGAAACUGCCAGUUGAUGAACGGAACUUCAAUGGCUGCUCCACAUGUCGCUGGAGUUGUUGCGGCCCUGGUGUCGGGUCUGAAAGCGAAGAGCCUGCCAUAUUCGCCAUACUCACUGAAACGAGCGUUGGAGAACUCCGCCACACAUCUCAGCCACGUGGAGCCGUGGGCACAGGGCUGUGGUUUGGUUAACAUUGAUAAGGCGUUCGAGAUCCUGUCGAGCCACCACGACGCCCCGGAGCGCGACGUGUGGUUCAGCCUGCAGUGCGGCAGCGGCGCGGGCGCCGGCAAGGGCGUGCUGCUGCGGCCGCGCGGCGGGGACGGGCCGCAGGACGUGCCCGUCACCGUCGAGCCGCAGUUCCUGCAGGACCACACGGACCCGCACAAUAAGGGCGUGAUAGCGAGCCAGUUAGCGUUCAACAUUCGAUUAGCGUUAUCCUGUAACGUUCCCUGGAUCUCCGCGCCGCAGCAUCUGGAUAUGAUGAACGCCAGCAGACCGCUCGCACUGAGGGUUAACACCGCCAGUCUCCCACCAGGGCCACACUUCGCUAGUAUAAACGCGUUCGACGUGUCGUGCGUGGAGAAGGGCCCUGUGUUCCGCAUCCCCGUGACGGUGCUGCAGGCCACGCCGCUGCCGCCACCGCCAGCGCCGCAGACUCUGGAUGAGAAACAGGUGGAGUUCAAGCCUGCCACCAUCAAGCGACACUUUGUUAUACCGCCAGCGGAGGCGACGUGGGGUGUGGUCCGCAUGCGUGCCGUGGGCGACGUGGGCGGCGUGGGCGGCGCGAGCGCAGCGGGCGCGGAGGCGGAGGCGGGCGGCGCGGCGCGCUUCCUGCUGCACGCCAUGCAGCUGCUGCCGCGCCGCUCGUGCCGCUCGCACGAGACGCACAAGAUGCUCACGCUGCACGCCGAGGCGCCCGCCCUGCUGCCCUUCCAGAUACAGGGCGGCGUACCCCUAGAAAUAGUGAUAGCGAAGUACUGGGCGAACAUAGGCACAGUGGCGGUGGAUUACAGCAUAGAGUUCCACGGCAUCAAGCCGGACUUCGGGCCGCGGAUGGUGAUGGCGGCGGGCGAGGGCAUCCGCGCCGUCACGUUGGCGGCCCUGCGCCUGGAGGACGUGCAGCCCAACGCGCAGCUCAAGUACUCCGAGCCCAUAGUGCGCCCAACAGAAUCAAAGCUGUCUCCGCUGACGUCACGCGACGUGAUACCGCCGGCGCGGCAGAUCUACCAGCUGAUCAACACGUACAGCUUCCACGUCGCUAAGGCCACAGAGGUGUCGCCAAUAGUGUCUCUGCUAUGCGACAUGCUGUACGAGUCAGAGUUCGAGGCCCAGAUGUGGAUGAUCUACAACUCGUGCAAGCAACUCAUGGGCGUCGGAGACGCGUACCCCUCCAAGUAUUCAGUGAAGCUGGAGAAGGGCGACUAUACUCUUCGCCUGAACAUCCGUCACGAGAACAAGUCCUUGCUAGAGAAGCUUCAAGAGCUGCCCGUCAUCAUACAGCAGCGGUUGCCCCAGCCCAUCACGCUGGACGUAUACUGCUCGCAACCACAGGCGUUAACUGGAGGAAAGAAGAUCAGCUCACUACCAUUACAAAGUGGAACAUUAAUACCUCUAUACUUCACGUCGGUGCCGGCUGAUAAAAUAGGCCGUUCGAACCUGACGAUAGGGCACACGCUGACCGGCACGGUGACCUUCGCAAAGGACGAGCUAGGCCGCAAGGUGGACACCUACCCGCUGCAGUAUGUCGUCUGCGAACCCCCCAAGCGUACCAACAACAACAAGGAAAAAGAGAAGGGGAAACCGCAUGACGACUAUAUGGAUGCCGUCAAGGAGUUCACUACUAACUGGCUGGCUAAGCUAGAGGGCGACAAGUUGGAGCAAGUGUACGAGGAGAUGUUGGAGAAGUUCCCCGGGUACUUAGGUGCCCACGUCGCUUAUCUGCACGCGGUCGACUCGCCCACUGAUGCUAAGAAACUACCUCAUGCUAACGAAGAACCAGAUGUGACGACCGCGUGGUGUGAACAGCUCGUCACUAUAUCUGAAAAGGUGAUAAAACAAAUAGAUCAAGACAAGCUCCUAGCGUACUUAGGGAUGAAGAACGACACGCGAAGUGAUGCAACUAAAAUUAAGCAGGAGCAAGAAAAGCAGAAGGGCUACCUGAUAGACGCGCUAUGCCGGCGCGGCGCGGCGCUGUGCCGCCUGCGGGCGCUGGCGGCGGGCGCUGCGGCGCGGGACAAGCUGGCCGCCGCGCUGAGGGGGAACAUGGACGACCUGCUCAAGUUCACCGACCUCACCGACUCCAAGGCAAUCCACUACGGCGUGUGGCACUGCUUCACGUUCAACCAAUGGGGGCGAGCAGUGAAACUACUAACCAAGAUCUUAGAAGAAAGACCUUCGAAGGAGGCAGAGGAGCGUCUGAUAGAGGCGUACAAGCAACUGAAAUGGGAUUAUCUUGCCAAGUUCGCGCAAGGACAGAUGCCGAUCAAGUAUCCGUCGACUUACCGACCCUUCUAGAUCUUCCUGGUGAAAGCUACCAGGGUCCGGGCGUUAGGAAUUGGUUGUAUCAUCUAGUUACUCCUGCACAAAAAGUUGGAAAAACCUAUCAUCGCUUAUAAUCAGUGAUCGGAUAUUCGGGCGCUACGCUUCGCAGUUCGCUGGUCGAUUUAUUAGCACUUUUGUAUUGAAAUCUAAUCGCACGUAACAAGUAUUGAUAAGAAUUAAUAAUAGUUUCGAUCCGAACGUUUUGAUAAACAACAAUAAGUACUUAGUUCUAAAAUUGUCCCCACCGGGAUUCGAACCCGGGAGUACGUAGUCGUUACAUGAGCCAUGUCAGGGGCCUGUGACGGCUCAGUAAUAACCCUGACACCAGGGUUGAUGGGGUUGGUAAUCCACCUCACAAUCCACACGAUAGAAGUUCUGAAUUCAAAUUGUGGUACACGAUGUCAUCUAAUAAUAGGCACUUGGCAACCUAGUCAAAUCAGAUACUUUUACGAAACGUCAAAACGAAAGUUUUCUUCGGAGUUUGUAUGGAAAUACUGUCCUGGGACGUCCUAAAUAAAAUCCGGAAAUAAGUCGAAAGUAAAAUGAGAUUCAUUUAGGUUGGGGCUUUUUGGCGGGAAACGGGAACGGGACAGUUGCUUUCUUCAUUGAAUAAUCUAAUUAAUUAAUACAAAGUGGUGUUUUGUGAUUAAUGAUCGCAUUAAGUUAGUCGGAAGACAUUCGCGAGUGUUAUUAUAUCGGAGUAUUCAAUAAACAAAGUGUAUCUGCCUAUUUUCGCUUCGUGCCAGGAAGCCGCUUCAUAACUCGAAAGUUUAUGCGGACUUUUGAGUUAAUUCGUUUGGAGUUCGGAGUAGGAGUCUACUCCGAGGGUGGGGGCUUAGGUUUCAUUAUCAUCACCUUUGAUCAUUUCAUUAUUCAUCAAGAAAAAAAAAAACGUAAGACAUGGCUGUAUGGGCAUAGUUCCCUUUGCCUUACCCUUCGGGGAAAACAAAAAAAAAUCAAUUUUGUUUGGCUUCUAUUUUUAAAUUAGUGUUAUAAUUUAUCUUAGACCUAAUCGAAUACCCUAUUGAUGAACAUGAAAAGUCACAUUGGUUUGUAUUCGGAAGUGCGUUGACUGUCGCGGGACAUUUAGAUGUUUGAGGCCUAAUGAUGAUGAUUAUGACUAAUAAAACAAUAAAUAACGUAGCUUCACGCUUGUAUUCCUGAAGGGGUAGGCAGAGCUGUACAGUAUAUGCACCCAGUCCUCGCCAGCUAUGUUUAAGUGUAAUGAGUUGAUAGUACCAAUUUGAACGCCCGAGUGUAAGUGAAUUGUUGAUUUUCUAAGCCAUGUCCAUCUAUACUAAGUCGCAACUUAGAUACAAGUACAGUUUAAUAAUGAAGUGUUGUAUAAAAUAAAAAAAAUAGCGCACAGUAAGUCGUAGUACAGUUUUGAUAUUGCAAAUAGAUAAUUGAAUUUUAUUUUAUACUGGAUUAUUUUUGUUCAUCCCUAAUGCUUUUAAAGAUCUAAAUACACACUAUUCUGAGCGAAACAGUUCAAGAAACUAAAUCUCCAUUCCUUCAAACAUUUGUCAAUUUGAUGGUUAAUUUUGCAUAAGUUCUUUGACGAUGUUGUUGGGCACAUUGAUCGUUGAAAGUAUUAGCGGAAAAAAAUACACUGUAUUUAAUUAUCGACACCUAAUUUUUUUAAAGUUAUACCUGUCAUUUUCUAAUCUGGCGAAAAGGAAAGAGACGGGAGGUGACAGCUGUUAAUUUUAAAAUCAAUGAGUGAAUGUAACAAUAAUCCGGAAGAAUAAAUUGUAUAGACAUCUCGCUGCAACCCGUUCGACUUGGGCUAUCAGCUCAAUUCUGUCGGAUUAUACGACAAUAUAAAAAAUACGGGUUUUUAAGAGUUUAUCUAGAAUUCACGUGUGUUCCAUAUACGUAUAAUUUUUUAGCUUGUCGAGUACCCUUCCCUUUCCUUCUCAGCGGAUAAGACACGUGUUAUGAUGUUAAAACGAUUGGUGUUGUUUACAUGUUGUAUAUAUCCUUUAAAACAUAGCGUUAGUGUAAUAUCUCGUCUCCUUCGCGCGAAGCCGUAUACCGUUAGUGCGAAAAAAUACAUAUAUCUAUGUCUUGCUGUCAUUCUAAUUAUGCUAUGUUUAAACGGGUAUAUGUUUGAUAAUUUGACGAUUGAAUCAUUCAGUUUAGUAUCGUAAGCAUUUUAUUAUGUUAAAAGCAGGUGCUCCUGUAAGUGUGCUCAAAUUAGUGCUGCAAAGGACUUUAGGCUUUUAGCCCUAAAUUUCAGCCUACCGAGUCCUUUUUGGGACUAGACCAGUAAAAUAGGGCUUUAAAAGCUUCGUCAUUUUAAAAAACUUUUAGCCAUUUUUAAAGUAGUAGGCUUUAAAAAAGCCUAUAGCCUUUUUAAUGUAGUAGGCUUUUAAAAAGCCUAUAGCUUUUUUUAAAGUAGUAGGCUUUUUGGGACUGGAGUCUUUAUUAUCAUUUUUUAGUAAAAGCCUUUUUACCGAUUUCAAAAAAGGGAGUUAUCAAUUCGAUACGUAUGUAUAUAAUAUUAUUGGAGCUACAUAAAAUUCACACAUGAUAUUGGCCUUAAAAAUCGGUUCUUCUGGCGUAAGUAAUUUGUAUGGGGCUGACGGGACGUGCUGUUACGUAUUACUAUAAUUAUUAGACUAUUUCCAUACUAAUUGAUAGUAAGAAGUUAUUUUCAAUAUUCAUAGUUAGUUAGCUAGUUGUGCAUCUAACAAUAAAUCAAUUUUUCACAGUGUUUGUGUAGGUAUAUAUGUUUUUAAAGUUUGUUGUACCCACCCACACUUUUACUUUUUUUUACUUGAGAAAGGGACUGUAUGUAUAGCCUAAAUAACCUUAAGGUCUAAGAGCUUCAUAGGCUUUUUGAGCGUCUUAUUUUAUUAAAUUAGUCUUAAACAAGGUUAGGCCUUUUUAAGGCCUUUAGGCUUAUAACCAAUAGGCUUGAAUAGGCUUAACCCUAGCCUAGCCGCAAGUACUAAAUGGCUUUAUAGGUUUUUAGCCUACUAAGCUUUUUAUUUAACAGUCUAGUCUUAAAAUAAGGGCUAAAAGCCUAAAGUUCUUUGCAGCACUAGCUCAAAUAUUACCAAGAUUCGGUUUUUUAUAGACGUGAGAUAAUGCGGAACUUGGAAAACGACAUGUUUAGGCAGUAAUCAUAGAAUAAAGAAUAAUACUACGUAUAGAACGGCUAUAUUCAUAAUGCUGUCUGUAAAAGUUUCAUAUGUAUUGCUGUAUGUGUACCUAAAUAAAUAAAUAAAUAAACUCUCCGCCCCGCACAGAUUCGUAUCGGGCGCCUACCUCACCUCCUCUGGGUCUUUAGUCUAAAUGCCCGUACGCCGCUAAGGAGUAAAGGGGACAGCGCGCGCAGUGUGUCUCCCUCACACUUACGGGUUAGGUGGUACACAGUCGUCAUAAACAGCCUAUAUACGUCCCACUGCUGGGCACAGGCCUCCCCUCAAUCAACCGGAGGGGGUAUGGAGCAUACUCCACCACGCUGCUCCAAUGCGGGUUGGUGGAGGUGUUUUUACGGCUAAUAGCCGGGACCAACGGCUUAACGUGCCCUCCGAAGCACGGAAUCAUCUUACUCUUACGGACAAUCAGGUGAUUCAAGCCUGAAAAGUCCUUACCAAACAAAGGACAGUCUCACAAAGUGAUUUCGACAAUGUCCCCAUCGGGAAUCGAACCCGGACCUCCAGAUCGUGAGCCUAACGCUCUAACCACUAGACCACGGAGGCUGUUA